rnacentral:lncRNA from 10 species
GGGGUGAUAGCACAGAGCUCAGUGUGUCUAUGCAGCAGGGGCCAGCAAGGCCCUGGCCUGAGGCCUUGGGAUGACUGAGGGCCCCCUGGGAAGGGGACUCCAGGGCAGGGGUUGGAAACUUGGGAGCAGAUCUGACUUCGGAGGUAACACCACCAACUGCGCUGCCACACAUUCUUGAAAAGCAACAACCAUAAGCUUUGAAUACCAAGAACGGGCAUUAUGAACACAUUAUAAAUGGCAGGGGACAGUGGGAAGGGCUUAUGUCCAGGCGGGGGACAGUGGGAAGGGCUUCAUGAGUGGGGGCAGCCACUCACGGAGCCGGGACAGGGUCAAAGCCAGGGGACAAAGCUGGGACGGGGGCAAAGCCAGGUUGGUCCCCACCUCCACCAGUUCCUUCUGGCAGCCUUGAUCUCCACUUGUGUGAAAUGGGGACACCUGCCUUGAUUGGCGUGAGGCUCAAAUGACAUAACCUAUGGGAAACUGCCCUGGGUAUAAAAGGCUCUAGUUUGUUUAAUUAAUUACCAUUUUAAUUAAUUUAGGCCUCAGUUCUAAAGUUUGUAGAAAUACCUAAAGGACGCUGGGCACAGUGGCUCAUGCCUGUAAUCCCAGCACUUUGGGAGGCUGAGGCGGGCGAAUCACCUGAGGUCAGGAGUUCGAGAUUAGUCUGACCAACAUGGUGAAACCCGGUCUCUACUAAAAAUAUAAAAAUUAGCUGGGCGUGGUGGCGUGCACCUGUAAUCCCAGCUACCUGGGAGCCCGAGGCAGGAAAAUCGCUUGAACCCAGGAGGUGGCAGUGAGCUGA